rnacentral:rRNA from 37 species
UGCCUGGCGGCAGUAGCGCGGUGGUCCCACCUGACCCCAUGCCGAACUCAGAAGUGAAACGCCGUAGCGCCGAUGGUAGUGUGGGGUCUCCCCAUGCGAGAGUAGGGAACUGCCAGGCAU